rnacentral:tRNA from 1 species
GGUGACGUGUCCGAGUGGUUAAGGAGUCAGAUUUGAAACCUGAUGGUUAUCGCCGCGUAGGUUCAAAUCCUGCCGUCAUCG